AGCUCGUGUCGUGAGAUGUUGGGUUAAGUCCCGCAACGAGCGCAACCCUCGUCCUUAGUUGCUAACAGUUCGGCUGAGCACUCUAGGGAGACUGCUUCGCAAGGAGGAGGAAGGUGAGGACGACGUCAAGUCAUCAUGGCCCUUACGGCCAGGGCUACACACGUGCUACAAUGGGGCGUACAGAGAGCUGCGAUACCGCGAGGUGGAGCCAAUCUCUUAAAAGCGUCUCUCAGUUCGGAUUGUUCUCUGCAACUCGAGAACAUGAAGCUGGAAUCACUAGUAAUCGCAGAUCAGCUAUGCUGCGGUGAAUACGUUCCCGGGUCUU
rnacentral:rRNA from 1 species